rnacentral:rRNA from 1 species
GAAGAAAGAGGGAGGCGUGCUUAACACAUGCUAGUCGAACGGAAAGGCCCUGCUUUUGUGGGGUGCUCGAGUGGCGAACGGGUGAGUAACACGUGAGUAACCUGCCCUUGACUUUGGGAUAACUUCAGGAAACUGGGGCUAAUACCGGAUAGGAGCUCCUGCUGCAUGGUGGGGGUUGGAAAGUUUCGGCGGUUGGGGAUGGACUCGCGGCUUAUCAGCUUGUUGGUGGGGUAGUGGCUUACCAAGGCUUUGACGGGUAGCCGGCCUGAGAGGGUGACCGGCCACAUUGGGACUGAGAUACGGCCCAGACUCCUACGGGAGGCAGCAGUGGGGAAUAUUGCACAAUGGGCGGAAGCCUGAUGCAGCAACGCCGCGUGCGGGAUGACGGCCUUCGGGUUGUAAACCGCUUUCGCCUGUGACGAAGCGUGAGUGACGGUAAUGGGUAAAGAAGCACCGGCUAACUACGUG